GUAUUAGCAGAAAUUAGGGGAGAAUCAUCAUCAUUCAACAACAGCUAAAACCCUAGAUUGAGAAAUUGAAGUAUUGAAAACCUUUAUUUGAUCUAUAACAACAAUGCCGCAAGUGAAGAUCGUCGCCAGGAAUUUCAUGGACAUGGUGGCUUCAUUGCCUGUCAUGAAACUCGACAUGCUUUACGACAAUUCCUUUAUCUGUGAAGCCAUUCUUAGAUCGUUACCUCCCUUAGCGAAGAAGUAUGUGCUG
rnacentral:misc_RNA from 1 species